GUAGGGUGCGAGCGUUAAUCGGAAUUACUGGGCGUAAAGCGUGCGCAGGCGGUUAUGUAAGACAGAUGUGAAAUCCCCGGGCUCAACCUGGGAACUGCAUUUGUGACUGCAUGGCUAGAGUACGGUAGAGGGGGAUGGAAUUCCGCGUGUAGCAGUGAAAUGCGUAGAUAUGCGGAGGAACACCGAUGGCGAAGGCAAUCCCCUGGACCUGUACUGACGCUCAUGCACGAAAGCGUGGGGAGCAAACAGGAUUAGAUACCCUGGUAGUCCCACGCCCUAAACGAUGUCAACUGGUUGUUGGGAAUUAGUUUUCUCAGUAACGAAGCUAACGCGUGAAGUUGACCGCCUGGGGAGUACGGCCGCAAGGUUG
rnacentral:rRNA from 1 species